rnacentral:rRNA from 1 species
CAGCCGCCGCGGGAAUACGUAGGGUGCGAGCGUUAAUCGGAAUUACUGGGCGUAAAGCGUGCGCAGGCGGUUGUGUAAGACAGGUGUGAAAUCCCCGGGCUUAACCUGGGAACUGCGCUUGUGACUGCACAGCUAGAGUAUGGCAGAGGGGGGUGGAAUUCCACGUGUAGCAGUGAAAUGCGUAGAGAUGUGGAGGAACACCGAUGGCGAAGGCAGCCCCCUGGGCCAAUACUGACGCUCAUGCACGAAAGCGUGGGGAGCAAACAGGAUUAGAUACCCCCGUAGUCCCUGUCUCUUAUAA